CGCUUGUUAAUUUAUUAGUAAAUAGGGUUUUUGUCUGCCGCGGGGGGGGGGGACAGCCUUGCUGAAUUAUUCACCCUUGUCUUUUGCGUACUUCUUGUUUCCUUGGUGGGUUCGCCCACCACUAGGACAAACAUAAACCUUUUGUAAUUGCAAUCAGCGUCAGUAACAAAUUAAUAAUUACAACUUUCAACAACGGAUCUCUUGGUUCUGGCAUCGAUGAAGAACGCAGCGAAAUGCGAUAAGUAGUGUGAAUUGCAGAAUUCAGUGAAUCAUCGAAUCUUUGAACGCACAUUGCGCCCUUUGGUAUUCCAAAGGGCAUGCCUGUUCGAGCGUCAUUUGUACCCUCAAGCUUUGCUUGGUGUUGGGCGUCUUGUCUCUAGCUUUGCUGGAGACUCGCCUUAAAGUAAUUGGCAGCCGGCCUACUGGUUUCGGAGCGCAGCACAAGUCGCACUCUCUAUCAGCAAAGGUCUAGCAUCCAUUAAGCCUUUUUUCAACUUUUGACCUCGGAUCAGGUAGGGAUACCCGCUGAACUUAAGCAUAUCAAAAAGCCGGAGGAAA
rnacentral:rRNA from 1 species